AAACGCUUGAAGUCAGUCGCGUUAGUUGGGGAUCAGCCUUCCUUUUGGUUGGUGUACUUCCCAGUUGACGGGUCAGCAUCAGUUUUGACCAGUGGAUAAAAGCUUGAGGAAUGUGGCAUCUUCGGGUGUGUUAUAG
rnacentral:rRNA from 1 species